CUGCAGCUCUUCAGCAGGCCCUCCCGAGGUCCAGGUCGGAGGCCCUGAGAGGCAGACGUGGCCGCAGUUUGUCCAGCUCCCUCCCACUCUGGGUUCUGCUCUUCUUCCCAAGUGCAGGUACAGCCAACCUACAGCAUCCACGGGCUCCCCCGCCACCACCCCGGGGGCAAAGCCAGCAGCUCUUCACAGAUGCUUCAACAGCUCCCUCGGCUGCAGAAAUUCUAAUCGCUGCAUCACUCAUAGUGGUUCUGCCCUUCUGAUGAGACUCUCAUACAGCAUCCAAGUGAGAUACCGAGAGAGGAGGUCCACCGCCCUGGGAGCUCCAUGGUACAGAGAUGGGGGCAGGAGGGAACAGCCAAGGAGACCGAGAGCCACCAGUGAGACAGAAGGAAACCCUGAGCACUCGUGGCUCAAGGCGAAGGAGGAACGUCAGGAGGAGCCUGAGCUUGACCAUGUCUGCUGAGAUGAGUUUGGAGAGCGGACUGCCGUGCCUGAAGACAGAGAGCUUCCAGAAAACAGACGCAACAUACCAUCUGCCUUCAUUUCAGGGAAGAGAAAUCCCCAGGACAGAGAAGGGGAAAGUCUCAUCUCAUGAAAAGACCUCUUCCUGGGACGCUUGUCUUUUCAGUUCAUAUCCACAUAUCCCACAGCCUCCCCUCCUCCAAGAUGUGUCCUCAGAAUUCCACUGCUAUGCUCCGCUCGUGUCCUGCCUGUGU
ensembl:lncRNA